UCCACGAAGUUUCGGCGAUGCCCUAGCCGACUUUCACCCCCACUGUUGUUUUUGUUGACCGCCACCUUCCGCCUGGCCUCCGGCCUUCGCCGGUAGGCUCUCAUUCUUGUCCACCCAUGGACUCUUUAUCCCCCCAAUCUUUUCCUCCACUCAUUCCUCCCUCUACCUCCAACCCCACUGCACCUUCAACUCUAGAUCGGUUGUGGUCUACUAUUGCUGCUUCUCAUGAACCUUUUACGGAAUCCCUUCAUGUCUCUCUCAUUGAGACUCCUGAGGUUAUUGUUCCCUUCAACAAGGAUUACACAGCUGCAGCCGCUGCGGAAUGGAAACUUUCGCUUGUGGGAUACUCUGUCGGUAAGCGUCCCUAGUACGAAGCUUUGCUUUCCACUGCUAAGAGAAUCUGGAAACCCAAAGUUCAUUAAGCCAUGGCUCCUGGAAAAUGGAUAAGCUCCCGAAUAAUUGCAAACUACUCACAUUUGACUAGAUGUUAUCAUUUUGUAAAUAUUAUGAUUUAAUGAUUAAUAAUUUCUGAGAUCUAUUUUAUAUGGAUGUAUUUGUAAAAGUAUAUGAAUGAAUAAAUUUUUUUA